GGUAGGCAACUCUGCUGCACAUUCUAUACAUCACCUUGGGCGGAACAAAUGUAUCCCUAGCAGCAAGACGGAACCUUUAUUUGUGAAUUUUGUUUCCACUUUCCAGAGGAACAUCUGAUCACAUUGCACGUGGCUUGUUCCUGGACCGCUGAUUGCAACUUUUGAGGAUGUAAAGUAAACAUCUUAUAUCCGGAGCAUCUGGUGAUGGAGAAAGAUCAGGAUAAGAACCAGGGAGGCUUUGUGGGAUAUGCUGAUGAGGGAGGGAAACGUGACCCUACACAAGAAGAUGCUUCACAAGUUCCUCCUGAGGCUGAGCAGAAGGACAGUGCACCACAACUACUGCUGGGUGGGAGGAAAGUGGAUGAUAUGAGAUUUAUGAUCACAUGCACUAACUGGUACUGAUCAAGCCUCUUCAGUGCAUGUAACAUGACUUGCAAUUAUCUGCCUGCUGCUUAUUUUAUUUUUAUAAAGCGGAUUAAUUAGU